rnacentral:rRNA from 1 species
AUUGAACGCUGGCGGCAGGCUUAACACAUGCAAGUCGAGCGGGGGAAGGUAGCUUGCUACUGGACCUAGCGGCGGACGGGUGAGUAAUGCUUAGGAAUCUGCCUAUUAGUGGGGGACAACAUCUCGAAAGGGAUGCUAAUACCGCAUACGUCCUACGGGAGAAAGCAGGGGAUCUUCGGACCUUGCGCUAAUAGAUGAGCCUAAGUCGGAUUAGCUAGUUGGUGGGGUAAAGGCCUACCAAGGCGACGAUCUGUAGCGGGUCUGAGAGGAUGAGCCGCCACACUGGGACUGAGACACGGCCCAGACGCCUACGGGAGGCAGCAGUGGGGAAUAUUGGACAAUGGGGGGAACCCUGAUCCAGCCAUGCCGCGUGUGUGAAGAAGGCCUUAUGGUUGUAAAGCACUUUAAGCGAGGAGGAGGCUACUUUAGUUAAUACCUAGAGAUAGUGGACGUUACUCGCAGAAUAAGCACCGGCUAACUCUGUGCCAGCCGCCGCGGUAA